GCCGCUGUGGUGGAAUAGGCAGACACAAGGGACUUAAAAUCCCUCGGAGGUUAAACUCCGUACCGGUUCAAGUCCGGUCAGCGGCACCA
rnacentral:tRNA from 1 species